rnacentral:rRNA from 1 species
AUUGAACGCUGGCGGCAGGCCUAACACAUGCAAGUCGAGCGGAUGAAGGGAGCUUGCUCCUGGAUUCAGCGGCGGACGGGUGAGUAAUGCCUAGGAAUCUGCCUGGUAGUGGGGGAUAACGUCCGGAAACGGGCGCUAAUACCGCAUACGUCCUUAGGGCGAAAGGGGGGGAUCUUCGGACCUCACGCUAUCAGAUGAGCCUAGGUCGGAUUAGCUAGUUGGUGGGGUAAAGGCCUACCAAGGCGACGAUCCGUAACUGGUCUGAGAGGAUGAUCAGUCACACUGGAACUGAGACACGGUCCAGACUCCUACGGGAGGCAGCAGUGGGGAAUAUUGGACAAUGGGCGAAGGCCUGAUCCAGCCAUGCCGCGUGUGUGAAGAAGGUCUUCGGAUUGUAAAGCACUUUAAGUUGGGAGGAAGGGCAGUAAGUUAAUACCUUGCUGUUUUGACGUUACCAACAGAAUAAGCACCGGCUAACUUCGUG